CGGGUGAGCUACCAUGCAAGUCGAGCGGAGAGAGGUAGCUUGCUACUGAUCUUAGCGGCGGACGGGUGAGUAAUGCUUAGGAAUCUGCCUAUUAGUGGGGGACAACAUUUCGAAAGGAAUGCUAAUACCGCAUACGUCCUACGGGAGAAAGCAGGGGAUCUUCGGACCUUGCGCUAAUAGAUGAGCCUAAGUCGGAUUAGCUAGUUGGUGGGGUAAAGGCCUACCAAGGCGACGAUCUGUAGCGGGUCUGAGAGGAUGAUCCGCCACACUGGGACUGAGACACGGCCCAGACUCCUACGGGAGGCAGCAGUGGGGAAUAUUGGACAAUGGGCGCAAGCCUGAUCCAGCCAUGCCGCGUGUGUGAAGAAGGCCUUAUGGUUGUAAAGCACUUUAAGCGAGGAGGAGGCUACUUUAGUUAAUACCUAGAGAUAGUGGACGUUACUCGCAGAAUAAGCACCGGCUAACUCUGUGCCAGCAGCCGCGGUAAUACAGAGGGUGCAAGCGUUAAUCGGAUUUACUGGGCGUAAAGCGCGCGUAGGCGGCUAAUUAAGUCAAAUGUGAAAUCCCCGAGCUUAACUUGGGAAUUGCAUUCGAUACUGGUUAGCUAGAGUGUGGGAGAGGAUGGUAGAAUUCCAGGUGUAGCGGUGAAAUGCGUAGAGAUCUGGAGGAAUACCGAUGGCGAAGGCAGCCAUCUGGCCUAACACUGACGCUGAGGUGCGAAAGCAUGGGGAGCAAACAGGAUUAGAUACCCUGGUAGUCCAUGCCGUAAACGAUGUCUACUAGCCGUUGGGGCCUUUGAGGCUUUAGUGGCGCAGCUAACGCGAUAAGUAGACCGCCUGGGGGAGUACGUGUCGCAAGACUAAAACUCAAAUGAAUUUGACGGGGGGCCCGCACAAGCGGUGGAGCAUGUGGUUUAAUUUCGAUGCAACGCGAAGAACCUUACCUGGUCGUUGACAUAGUAAGAACUUUCCAGAGAUGGGAUUGGAUGGCCUUUCGGGAAGCGUAACAUAACAGGUGCUGGCAUGGGCUGGUCGUCAGCUCGUGUCGUGGAGAAUGUUUGGGGGUUAAGGUCCCGGCAACGAGCGCCAACCGUUUUCCGUUAUUUGCCAGUCGAGCUAUGUCGGGGAACUUGAGAUACCUGCAGGUUGACAACCUUGGAAAGGAAAGCCUUGG
rnacentral:rRNA from 1 species